rnacentral:snRNA from 1 species
AGAAGAUCCUCGGUGACAUCUGUCAUGCCGUUGAUUGCCAGAGUUGAUUUGGCUGAUCUAGCUGGCUAAGCAGGUGUCCCCUUUCUCCCUCCCCACUCUGUGUGGGUCUCUCCCAAAGCUGAGCACUUGGUCGAAGAAGACGACCUUCCCUGAAUAGAGGAGGACCGGUCUUUGGUCAAGGGUACUCAAGUAGCUGCGUUCCCCUGCUCGAACCUCCAAACAAGAUCUCAAUGUGACUUUGAAAUACAAGGCUUUCCUUCUAUUUUCGUUAUUUUACAGCAUACUGAUUUCAUUCUAAGAUCUUA